CAUUUGCAAAGGCUCGGGCCAGCCCGGGGCGCGUUGCCGGGGCGGGCCCACGCCCCCAGACCGCAGCUGGCCGGGCCCCUGGGCGAUGUCCCCCGGUGCGGACAGAAGCUGCAGCUGUCUCUGCUUCUGACAAAAGAGGAGUGUUUUGGCAACCAGAACGUCUUCAAGGGCGGGGUUGCCCGGACGGUAACUCGAACUACAGUGUAAUGGGAAAUGCUGCACAAAAAAUGCAAUUCGGAUGGUCUACACCCGCAGAUUUCUCAGCGUUUUCUUUCUGCUGACCGCUGAAGUAUUGCCUAUAGUUUAAAAUUGAACAAGAAGUACAAGAUUUGUACUAGAUUCAUGGAACACCAUUACUACCGACUCUAAUAAUGGUUUCCCUUAAUCCACAGCCAUGUAAUCUGGAAAUAAUAAACAUUUUAAGCAAAUG